rnacentral:rRNA from 1 species
GUCUAUGGCCAUGCCACCCUGAACAAGCCCGAUCCCACCUGAUCUCAGAAGCUAAGUAAGGUCAGGCCUGGUUAGUCCCUGGAAGGGAGACCACCUAGGAAGAGCAAGUGCUGUAGGUG